ACGAACGCUGGCGGCAGGCUUAACACAUGCAAGUCGAACGGCUGUAGCAAUACAGCAGUGGCAGACGGGUGAGUAACACGUGGGAACCUUCCUAGGGGUACGGAACAACUCAGGGAAACUUGAGCUAAUACCGUAUACGUCCGUAAGGAGAAAGAUUCAUCGCCCCUAGACGGGCCCGCGUAGGAUUAGGUAGUUGGUGAGGUAACGGCUCACCAAGCCUACGAUCCUUAGCUGAUCUGAGAGGAUGAUCAGCCACACUGGGACUGAGACACGGCCCAGACUCCUACGGGAGGCAGCAGUGGGGAAUCUUGGACAAUGGGCGCAAGCCUGAUCCAGCCAUGCCGCGUGAGUGAAGAAGGCCUUCGGGUUGUAAAGCUCUUUUACCAGGGACGAUAAUGACGGUACCUGGAGAAUAAGCCCCGGCAAACUUCGU
rnacentral:rRNA from 1 species